CGUGCGUGUAUGCAUAUGAGUGUGUGUCUGUGUGAGUGUCUGAGUGGAGCAAGUGCGUCCGCCGCAACCUUAAUGGUUGUUCGUUUGAUCAACGGUCGGUCGUCGAACGGUUUCCAUUAACAAACAGAGUGCGGCUUAAAUUCAGAUGCAAACCAGUUUGGCAGCUAAAGUGAAA